UAACGACUCUCGGCAACGGAUAUCUCGGCUCUCGCAUCGAUGAAGAACGUAGCGAAAUGCGAUACUUGGUGUGAAUUGCAGAAUCCCGUGAACCAUCGAGUCUUUGAACGCAAGUUGCGCCCCAAGCCUUUUGGUCAAGGGCACGUCUGCCUGGGUGUCAC
rnacentral:rRNA from 1 species